rnacentral:rRNA from 1 species
UGCCAGACUCCUACGGGAGGCAGCAGUGGGGAAUAUUGCACAAUGGGGGAAACCCUGAUGCAGCAACGCCGCGUGAGUGAGGAAGUAUUUCGGUAUGUAAAGCUCUAUCAGCAGGGAAUAGAAAAGAAGGUACCUGAAAAAGAAGCCCCGGCUAACUACGUGCCAGCAGCCGCGGUAAUACGUAGGGGGCAAGCGUUAUCCGGAUUUACUGGGUGUAAAGGGAGCGUAGACGGCAAUGCAAGCCAGAUGUGAAAUACCGGGGCUCAACCCCGGGGCUGCAUUGGAAACUGACAGGCUGGAGUGUCGGAGAGGCAGGCGGAAUUCCUAGUGUAGCGGUGAAAUGCGUAGAUAUUAGGAGGAACACCAGUGGCGAAGGCGGCCUGCUGGACGAUGACUGACGCUGAGGCUCGAAAGCGUGGGGAGCAAACAGGAUUAGAUCCCCCCGUA